AAAACUGCACCAUCCUGCCCCAGCUGCUCCCUCACUCACCCUUCAACUCCCACUUGAGUAGUAAUGAGGCACACCUGGCAUGCAUCACGGAUCACUUCACCAAAAAAAUAUCCAACCACUCUUUGGAUCAAAUAUGCAGAGCUGAAAGGAGCUGAGGGGGCACAUUCUCCUCCACAAUCCAUGAAGAGAAACUAAAUACAAUGAAACUUGUUGGAGAGAUGUGGUAGACCUGUCUGCUGGAAUACUGAUCAACAAAUGGCUUUAUGAAGAAGAAAAGCAGCUUGUUGUUCUGUCGUCCUGCAGGUGGAGAGGAUACUGAACUCACCUGCUUGUUCUUUAAACUCCGGAGCUGAAUGUAAAGUUUAUGUUGGGUUUGUAGUCAAAUCAACUGAUAUCUCUUAGAAACUAUGAAUACAGAAUACACCGACUGUUCUGAACAAAAGCCCAACAAAAGUUGUAUUUAAGCUCCUAGAAAUAGUGCAAUACUUUUAUUUUUCUCCUUUAAAUCUUCAUCUUAUUGACAUUAGAAGAGGAACAGCCUCAGUUUCGAGGAUUACAGGAAAAAGGUUGGAGGUUGAAGCUGUCAUUUGUGUAUUAAAAGCUGAUGAAAAAAAGACGGAAGGUUAUUAAAUGUGUUUGCA